AUCGCUAAACAUAUAUGUACAUUACCCCAAUCCCAAAGGGAUCAAAACAACAUUGAGAGCGCACUCUCGAAGAAACUAGUGAAACUAUGAGCACGAACGCCCGGCGCUGCUCUUGGGCCGUCCGCCUCCCAGGUGACUCCACCGCGGAGCUUGAAGCCACCUGCUUCGCCUUGCCACUCCUCCACUCGGUCACAAUGAUGUCAGGCCAGACGAACACCAUGUCGAUCUAGCUCGACGUCGUCGCAGCCAAGCGGUCCAACUCGAGCACGAUGACCCGGCGUCGCUCAUGGGUCACUCGCCUCCAAGGUGACUCCACUGCACAAGCUGAAGCCACCUGUUACGCCCCAAGACGUGAUGCUGUGUCUUGGAGCGCCUACCUCCCCAGUGUACUUCCAACACUAAGUCGGUGCCCAUUGCGAACAAACUCCAAGGCGUAGAACAAGCGAGGUGUGAGCCUCCUCCAGCUCUAGACUAGAGCGUGCUACCUUGCCUCCCACACUAGACAAGUGCGCUGGCCCCCUUCAAUGAUAUACGAGCCCCCGUUGACUUACUAUAUCGCAACACAAGCAACUUAUCCCCCGUAAGGGUGUAUCCGACUUCCCUAUGCUAUUAAGAAGUCUUGGGUAGCUACCUUCUACCCGUUUAGGGUUUAGGGUUUAGGGUUUUAGGGUUUAGGGUUUAGGUUUAGGGUUUAGGGUUUAGGGUUUAGGCGCGUUUAGGGUUUAGGCGCGUUUAGGCGUUUAGGGUCAAAGACACCCCGUGGUGUUGCAAUCCGGCGAGAUCGCUAAACAUAUAUGUACAUUACCCCAAUCCCAAAGGGAUGAAAACAACAUUGAGAGCGCACUCUCGAAGAAACUAGUGAAACUAUGAGCACGAACGCCCGGCGCUGCUCUUGGGCCGUCCGCCUCCCAGGUGACUCCACCGCGGAGCUUGAAGCCACCUGCUUCACCUUGCCACUCCUCCACUCGGUCGCAAUGAUGUCAGGCCAGACGAACACCAUGUCGAUCUAGCUCGACAUCGUCGCAGCCAAGCGGUCCAACUCGAGCACGAUGACCCGGCGUCGCUCAUGGGUCACUCGCCUCCAAGGUGACUCCACUGCACAAGCUGAAGCCACCUGUUAGCAAUCCGGCGAGAUCGCUAAACAUAUAUGUACAUUACCCCAAUCCCAAAGGGAUCAAAACUACAUUGAGAGCGCACUCUCGAAGAAACUAGUGAAACUAUGAGCGCGAACGCCCGGCGCUGCUCUUGGGCCGUCCGCCUCCCAGGUGACUCCACCGCGGAGCUUGAAGCCACCUGCUUUGCCUCGCCACUCCUCCACUCGAUCACAAUGAUGCCAAGCCAGACGAACACCAUGUCGAUCUAGCUCGACGUCGUCGCAGCCAAGCGGUCCAACUCGAGCACGAUGACCCAGCGUCGCUCAUGGGUCACUCGCCUCCAAGGUGACUCCACUGCACAAGCUGAAGCCACCUGUUACGCCCCAAGACGUGAUGCUGUGUCUUGGAGCGCCUACCUCCCCAGUGUACUUCCAGCACUAAGUCAGUGCCCAUUGCGAACAGACUCCAAGGCGUAGAACAAGCAAGGUGUGAGCCUCCUCCAGCUUUAGACUAAAGCGUGCUACCUUGCCUCCCACACUAGACAAGUGCGCUGGCCCCCUUCAAUGAUAUACGAGCCCCCGUUGCCGGCAUCACGACAAUCACAAGACUUGCAAGCCUCCGCAAACCUCCUCAAAGGACUAGCCCUGAAGCAAGAACCAUGUGGGAUUCCCUCCGCGAGCAAACCAACUCGGCCAUCCGCCACUGGCCCCCUUUGUGACAGCACUUCCCUGUCACUAGAUCCAAAAAUGCACCCAUAGUGUCUUCCACGUCCAUCCACCACGGACACUUCGCUAUGUCGGGAUGUCGUCCCGAACUGUCCUCCACCAGUCAACAAAGUUCCCAUGACUUGGUCGUGUUUCCACGACUCAAGUCGCCAAGAAUCGAUUACUCCAAGUCCUCCCAAGACUCGCGGACAUGCUGUAGAUUGCCACGCGACCUUGGCCAUGCUCCUCCCUGUGACCAGAGCGCCCCGCCACAAAUACUGACGGACCAUCGUGCGUACCUUUCUAAGAGUGCGUUCUGGAACAGGCCAGAUGGAGAGGUGGUACCAGAUGCCAAGCAGAAUGAUGCUCCUAGCGACUACCACUCUCGCUGGCAAGCCGAGUUUCCGGGGAGCCCACUUCUGGAUUGACGUUCGUACCCGUCGGAGCAAGGUGUCAUCCUGAAGUGCUGCACUGAACCGAGUACCAACCUGGAUCCCCAGGUACCUAGCGUCUUCUCCUGGUUUGAGCCACUGGAAGCCAAUGUCCUGCCCCCAAGAUUCGAUGCCUGGUCGCCCCCAAUUUAUGCCCACUGAUUUGUUCCAGUUAAUUGCUGCACCAGCCGCGAGGUUGAACGUCUCCAGCGCCUUCUUAGCUGCAUCCAUGUUCUCCUUAGUCGCAAGUAGGAACAAGGCAGUGUCGUCCGCAAAAGCACCAUCAAGGAGUUCCCGAGACACCCUUGUGGUUCCCGGAAGUUGCUGUCUCGCAGCCGGCAGUGUGAGUCCUUUAAUGCGUCCGCCUUCCGCUAGAAACGUGCCCAGGGCCUCAGCCACAAUCAGAAAAAGAUAGGGUGCUAGUGGACACCCUUGGCGUACUGAACGUCCCAGCUGGAAACUCGGUCCCGUCUCGCCAUUGAUUGUGACUCUGCUUGUGGCUCCUCGGUACAGUAACGAGAUCCUAGUGACCAUCUCUCUCGGGAUGCCGAUCGUGUUCAUGCACUCCUCUAGGAACCUCCAGUCCACCCGAUCGUAGGCCUUCUCGAAGUCCAAAAGCCAUGCUGCAGUUUGUUGGUUAGAGAUCUCUGCCCAUCUCUGAGCCAGCAGGUACGUCCAGAUGUUUUCUGCGAUUUGCCGCCCUGGAACAAACCCUGUCUGCUGCUCCCGGAUGAUCAGCGGCAUGACAGCUUGGAGCUUGAGGGUCAUUGCUUUGGCAUAGACCUUGUAGGACGUGUUGAGCAUGGUGAUUGGCCUCCAAUUCUUCAGCUCCUGCAGGUCCCCCCUCUUUGGAAUAAGCGCAAUCUGGCCCUCAAGGAUCUCGCGAGGCAAGGUCCCAUCACGUUGAGCAUCCCACCAUGCUUGUAGCAGCAGCGGGCCUAUGGUCUCCCAGUGCUCCUCGAAGAAAAUGGGCAAGAGGCCAUCGAUACCUGGCUGCUUGUCGUUGCUGAGCUUCCUGAGCGCUUCCCGAAGCUCCUCCAGUGUGAAGUCCGUCUUCAGUGAGUCGUGCCACUCAUGGGGGACUCGCUGGGGAAGGGACGCAAGCACUUCCACCGCCGCCCUUUCCCUCUCUGGAGUCCACUGCUGGGCCGUAUAUAGAAGUUGGUAAAACUCCUGGGCGAGCUGUUGCAUCCCCUGUUGGUCCUCGAUGACUCGCCCGUCACUGUGCUUCAGUCCUAGAAUGGGAGGAGAGUCCGUCACUGGCCUGAUUCCCCUAAAGAAAGCCUUGUUGAGAAGGCGUUCAUUCAGGGCCCAUCCAUCUUCCAUGGCCCGGACGCCCUUGCUCCAUGCAGCGUACUCCAUGUCACGUAGCUCGGCUUCACGUUCAUCCAGUAUUGUUUGCCACUUGAACUCAUCUUGCGUGUUCAGCAACAUCCUGUGUGCUGCUGCGACCUUCUUCCUGGCCAGUCUAAGGUCCUUCAUCACCACCCCUUUGAGAUCCUUCUGGCGCGCCCGGAGCUUCUGUGAGCAAGACAAGAGCACAGGGAUCAGUCCCAGCUUGUUCUGCGCAAGAGCGUCGUGUAUAAGCCCAAUUGCCACCGGGUCUCGCAGCGUGGCUCUAGUGAUUGAUCGCUGGACCGCUGUCCCUUUGUCCCUUUGGAGCUGGAUCACGCAUCUGAGGGGGUCGUGAUCUGAGAAGGAGGCAAAUCCCAGCCACGUUUUUAGGCUUCCCCCAUCCUGCCGUAUGCGAGACGAGGCGUAAAUCCGGUCCAGUCUCGACUGGGAGGAUACUGUCUGUCGCCUUGUAAAAGGGUGAGCAUGAGGUGCGAAUCCCGCAGCAUGCUGAAGGUCCAUGAGCCCCAGUAUGUCCAUGAGCUGACUCCACUGCUUCUGUUCACGUGGCUGAAUUGUUUCCUGCAUACCCCUGCGAUCACAGACGUCCUCGACCAUGUUGAAAUCUCCCAGGACCAGCCAUUCAUCUGCUUGCCCCUGGGCAGACUGUAACACACUCAGCCAGAAUUCUGCACGUCUCCCUUUCUUCGUUGGUGCAUAGACGUUGAUUAUCCCCACCCGUCCAAAGUGGAGGUGAAGGACAAGCAAUUGAGCCUUUCCUGGGACGAGAACAAGGUGGUUUCGUACCUGAGCAGACCAUUUGGUGGAGACUACCACUGCUGUGCCCCCUCCUGGUCUGGCCACUGCUUGCGUGGCCGGGUUCCACCAGAGCCGUCCCCUCAUUCCAAAGGUGUAGUCUGGGGCCACAGUCAUUUUGUGCUCUUGCAAGCAUAGGAUGUCGAUAUCACCUUCUAAGCUGAUCUCCCGGAUGUGGGACUUGAGCUGCGCCCUUUUGUUGAGUCGACUGCCGGUCCAGCUGAGUCCCCGGCAGUUCCAGGUGACGAGCGUGAGAGUUGUCAUGGAGCCACGUACUUCCAAGAAAGUGAGGAGUUACGGGGUCUCGCCCUCCAUUCUGUGGAGAUGGUCCACACCGCAGUCAUCUUCCCCCUGUGCUUCGUCCAGGAGAAGCCUCGGACAGUGUACUUCGCAAAGCCCGUCCACUCAGUGAUAGCACUCUCCAUGCGUGUGUGGUAGUCUCCAAUAGUGACAACCUCUGGGAAGGCUGUGUUCCCGCGGCACAUCAGCCAGUCUCCCGCCUCUGUGGGACUUAAUUCCCGCUUAGGGGGAAUCCACCUGACCGCCAUUCCUACUGUUCGAGGGAGGACCAGUUUAGGGUUUAGGGUUUAGGAGGUGGAGGAGGCGGCGGCGGCGCGCGGCGAAUUGGGAGCUCUUCCAGAACCACUUGGCGUAGAGGUGGAGCGAGAGGAUGAAGAGGAUGACCGAGAAGAGGACGACAAUGGCGGCAAUCAUGAUCUUGAUGUUCACCUGGUAGGGAUUGGAGUCGCUGCUGCUGGCGAUGGCGCUGGAGCUGCUGCCGCUGGGAUCCAUUGGCGAUUCAACGCCCAUUUCUCUCUCCCUCUCGAUCGAUCGACCGCCAAAUGGGAGAAAUGGAAGAAUGAGAGGGAUUGGGAGAAAGGAGUCGACCUAAAAUGUCACGACACAGAGCAUUGGGCCAAAAUUGUCAACUGGCAUUUCCAAGGUCUCUCUCUCGUCCAAGUGUGUUGAUUUCUUCGUCGCGGUGACGGGCGGCCCUUCCAAUGGCCGGCUCGUCUCGCCUAUCUCGCCCGUCGCGCCAUCCACCUGACGGGCCCCGACGAGUCAACAUUUCACCGUACGCGCGUGGUUCCCCUGGUGGCCCGGUGGAAAGAGCGCUGGGGUCUUAAAGUGCCACCGAAUCGGCGGNNNNNNNNNNNNNNNNNNNNNNNNNNNNNNNNNNNNNNNNNNNNNNNNNNNNNNNNNNNNNNNNNNNNNNNNNNNNNNNNNNNNNNNNNNNNNNNNNNNNCCCUAAACCCUAAACCCCAAUCCGGCGAGAUCGCUAAACAUAUAUGUACAUUACCCCAAUCCCAAAGGGAUCAAAACUACAUUGAGAGCGCACUCUCGAAGAAACUAGUGAAACUAUGAGCUCGAACGCCCGGCGCUGCUCUUGGGCCGUCCGCCUCCCAGGUGACUCCACCGCGGAGCUUGAAGCCACCUGCUUCGCCUCGCCACUCCUCCACUCGAUCACAAUGAUGCCAAGCCAGACGAACACCAUGUCGAUC
rnacentral:lncRNA from 1 species